rnacentral:rRNA from 1 species
AUUGAACGCUGGCGGCAGGCCUAACACAUGCAAGUCGAGCGGAUGAAGGGAGCUUGCUCCUGGAUUCAGCGGCGGACGGGUGAGUAAUGCCUAGGAAUCUGCCUGGUAGUGGGGGAUAACGUCCGGAAACGGGCGCUAAUAACGCAUACGUCCUGAGGGAGAAAGUGGGGGAUCUUCGGACCUCACGCUCUCAGAUGAGCCUAGGUCGGAUUAGCUAGUUGGUGGGGUAAAGGCCUACCAAGGCGACGAUCCGUAACUGGUCUGAGAGGAUGAUCAGUCACACUGGAACUGAGACACGGUCCAGACUCCUACGGGAGGCAGCAGUGGGGAAUAUUGGACAAUGGGCGAAAGCCUGAUCCAGCCAUGCCGCGUGUGUGAAGAAGGUCUUCGGAUUGUAAAGAACUUUAAGUUGGGAGGAAGGGCAGUAAGUUAAUACCUUGCUGUUUUGACGGUACCAACAGAAUAAGCACCGGCUAACUACGUG